AAUAAUAUUUUAGUUAUAAUUCAGGAACUAAAUUAGUAAUUAACUAUUUUAAUUAACAUUCUAUAUCAUCAUUUAAUAGAUAAAAUUUAUCACAUGAACUAAUUUACACGAUUUAAAAUGUAUAAAAACAAAUUUAGUCAUUUUAUCCAAAAUUACGAAUGUGGUUAAUUUAACCGUACUAAUGUUACAUUUCUUCAAAUUCAACUAGACUCUACAAAUAUAAACUCCAAAAAAUUAGUAUAUAGAUCUCGAAUGUAAAAAAGAAAGGAACACCCCCCAUUCUUGGCAAAGCCAAUCCUUGCAUGUCCUCUUGUAGCACUUGAGCUGGUCCUGCUGGUGGGCACACAAGAGAUUUGCGGGCCAACAUUCUGGUUAAAAGCCAGCAAAACCUAAAGCAUCAACUAGUCGAUUUCCUUCUCUAUACACAUGGACGACUUCAACUUCCGUAACAUAUCUCUAGUUGCUCUGAGCACAGUAUAGUGGUGAGUAACAAUCUCCUGGCAAUUCCUCAAUCAUCAUACACACCUCAAAGUUCGGCCUCUAAAACAGUAACACUCUUUAAAGUCGUAAAGCUCCUGAUUCAAACACAAACCCUCACACAAAAGCAUUCCAAUAAACCAUUAAAAGAUUCUACUCCAACGUCAAAUAGAUUUUGAAUUGCUAUUAAUUGACCGCAAUAACCGGUUGCUCAUUAAGGAAUUGCAGCCCACCUUAAUAUUGAAGGACUAUAAAGCAAAUACACUAUGAUAUAAAUCAUAAAUGAAGCACAGUUUAACGUUCAUCAGUCUUGCUACGAAGUUGAUACUUUUGAUCUAAAUCCAACAUCUACUAUUUUCAUAAAUAUUUAAUCAAAACUUGAUACCUCCUCAAAGAUCCUACCUAUGCAAUUAAUCUUAUCAGUAUAGUCUUGGAUCGGAACUGGAUUCUUUGAUCACUUCGAAAUUGAUUCAAUCUCGUGCAAUGCAUUCAUGACAUUCCCUAAGAAAUUAAGUAAUUACAAUCAUCCUGCUAAGAAAGGAUUUUUUUUUUUUUUUGGUCCCUAUUUGUUGAAAUCAGUCAUGUACUCCUAGAAGCUAAAAUAUGGGCAUGCACAGUAUGCUUAUUAAUGAUGCAUCAAAAUUAUCGUUAAAAUGUUGCAGAGAGAGACUGCAAACUAAAGCAUUACUUAGUAAAAUUUGAAGUAAAUUUCAAAAGAAAAGAACAUACCCUGAAUCAGACUACCCAGUAAACGAAUUUGAUAAUAUCCAAGCAGAUUGAGAAAAGCAACGGAUGAGUUGAAAACCAAAUUCAAAGAAAAAGAAGAUACUCCACCAAUUAUAAGUUACAGGUGAAUAUUUCCUAAAUAUUCUGAAAUAUAAGUAACAGGUAAAUAUCUCCUAAAAUAUUUGAGUAGGGACCUGUAAAUCUCAGCACGAUCUUGUCUUGUGUUGACUGAAUUCAUUGACUUGAAAUGCAUUUUUAUGAAUUCGGUUUUGUUAACAAGUCAACAAAUCUAGGUCAAAGCAAGGCACUGGAACCGGUAUUUUCUCCCAUGUCCUCUGCAUAAUAAACCUUAAUUCAACAAAUUAUAGAAGAGAUAAAAGUUAGAUAAUUGUUAUCUAAUGCCAUCAUCAUACAUCCCUGAAUAAGACUAACCAGAAAAAGAUCCUCACCUGAAUUAUUAUUAACACAUACUACCUCCUUAAAUAUAUAUAUAUCAGUUGAACAGAGUCAGGAAGGGGCUUGUAAAUCUCAGCCCAGUCCUGGUUAGAACUGAUGUUGUUGGCUCCAGAAAAGUGUUUUUAUUAACUAGAUUUGAUAUCUGCUUCAAAAAAGCAGAUCAGCAGCCAACAAACCCAGUUCAAAUCAAGAUACUGGAAUACUGAACUGCAUCAUGAAUUGCAGGUCUUGGGGGUGAUUCAUCGAGUCAACCACCAUCCACCAUCUACAUCCUUCCCCUAUAUAAACUCUGUAAUAUAUAUAUAUACACAUAGAAACAAAUUAAAACAGGUUAUAAAAGAGAUUGUGGAUCUUGGUUCUUCGCUUCUUAUACUAUCAAUUAUUUACAUCUUCCCCCAUAUAAACUCUGCAAAAAUAUAUUAAAACAAUUUGCAAAAGACAGUGGUUUGUUCAUUGCUUCUCUUAACAUCUACAAUCUACUUCCUUCCCCUAUAUCCUAAAAGUUACUGAGAAUAAUUAGUUCAUCCUUCCCAAUAAAAUUCUCACAUUUUAUGAUAAAAUAAUAAUAGAAGAGACGAAUUAAAACAAAUUACGGAAGGCAGGAAAGUUAGAUAUCAAAUACAGUUGGCAUGGUGGUUUCGCAGCCGCUAUUUCACAAUAGCUAAAGAUCUCACAGUAGAAUCCAGAGCAGAAAAAUCAAAUAGAGACGCUGAUACUUUAAGGGUUUCGAAAUUUACCUUAUUUGAUCGGAGUCGUGGUGAGAUGCUCGCUUGGCGGUCAGAUCCGUGCGAAGAGAGAUGAGGGUAGGCAGG
rnacentral:lncRNA from 1 species